ACAUCCAGCGAACUUUCCAGAGAUGGAUUGGUGCCUUCGGGAACGCUGAGACAGGUGCUGCAUGGCUGUCGUCAGCUCGUGUUGUGAAAUGUUGGGUUAAGUCCCGCAACGAGCGCAACCCUUUAUCCUUUGUUGCCAGCGAUUCGGUCGGGAACUCAAAGGAGACUGCCGGUGAUAAACCGGAGGAAGGUGGGGAUGACGUCAAGUCAUCAUGGCCCUUACGAGUAGGGCUACACACGUGCUACAAUGGCGCAUACAAAGAGAAGCGACCUCGCGAGAGCAAGCGGACCUCAUGAAGUGCGUCGUAGUCCGGAUCGGAGUCUGCAACUCGACUCCGUGAAGUCGGAAUCGCUAGUAAUCGUGGAUCAGAAUGCCACGGUGAAUACGUUCCCGGGCCUUGUACACACCGCCCGUCACACCAUGGGAGUGGGUUGCAAAAGAAGUAGGUAGCUUAACCUUCGGGAGGGCGCUUACCACUUUGUGAUUCAUGACUGGGGUGAAGUCGUAACAAGGUAGGCGUAGCGAG
rnacentral:rRNA from 1 species